rnacentral:rRNA from 1 species
GACGAACGCUGGCGGCGUGCCUAAUACAUGCAAGUAGAACGCUGAAGGAGGAGCUUGCUUCUCUGGAUGAGUUGCGAACGGGUGAGUAACGCGUAGGUAACCUGCCUGGUAGCGGGGGAUAACUAUUGGAAACGAUAGCUAAUACCGCAUAAUAGCAGUUGUUGCAUGACAACUGUUUGAAAGGUGCAAUUGCACCACUACCAGAUGGACCUGCGUUGUAUUAGCUAGUUGGUGGGGUAACGGCUCACCAAGGCGACGAUACAUAGCCGACCUGAGAGGGGGAUCGGCCACACUGGGACUGGGACACGGCCCAGACUCCUACGGGAGGCAGCAGUAGGGAAUCUUCGGCAAUGGACGGAAGUCUGACCGAGCAACGCCGCGUGAGUGAAGAAGGGUUUCGGAUCGUAAAGCUCUGUUGUAAGAGAAGAACGAGUGUGAGAGUGGAAAGUUCACACUGUGACGGUAUCUUACCAGAAAGGGACGGCUAACUACGUG